ACCCUCUUCAGCAGUCUCUUCUCUCGAACUAGGAGGAACGACGCUGCUCAAGUCCAAGUGUGGAUAUAAUUUUUCAACCGCAUCUUGGCAUCCUCAUAUUUGACACAGUAAGAGACAUAUCCGCCCUCGAGAAUCUCAUCCUUAAAUUUUUCUGAAUCCUUGAAGUUUUUGAUAGCCAGACUCAAGGCCCUUUCGCUGACUCAGCUUCAGCCUUAGCGGAGGCUAACUUAGCAUCGGCCAGUGCCAGUCUUUCCAUGGUGGCCCGAUGCCUGUCGUGCUCUCUUCCAGCUUUUCGAUGCAUCCAUCUCUUUCUCUCCAGAGCCAAUUGAUGGAAUGCUUCUUGCUCCUAAUCUGAAACUCGAGAGAUGUGAUAUUCUGUUGAGCCGACUCAAGUUCGACUCUGGAGGAUUGAAGGUCAGCCGUCAAACUGGAGAUCUCUUCUUAGAGCAUCUUCUCUCAUUCAGUUGCCGCCUGAAGCUGUUCGAUGGCACUAGUCUUUUCGACGUUGGCGGCUGCUACCUUGUCCAUCCACAUCUGACGAAGGUCAGUGAUUUUUUGAUAUCCGCUCUUUAAAUUAUGCAUAUCGUGCACCCACUGAAAAGAAAAGAUAAGUCAAAAAAAAAGGAAGAAUGUGGAAUGUCGGAAAAUUACCCCAAGCAUUGUCGGAUAAAAGAAAAAAAAUAUUUCAGACACUGUCUGAAUUCUUCUGUUCU
rnacentral:lncRNA from 1 species